AACACGAUUACUGGUCCACCUAGAAAUGCCGUGGAGCGAUUUAAGAGCCUCGGAAAUUUCCUUUAAGGGCAUUCAAGCAGCCCUGAGGAGAGGUCCACAUGGUGAGCCACUGAGGGCCUUGCCAAGAGCCAGCACCAACGGUCCAGGUUUGGAGUGUACCACCUUGGAAGUGAAUCUUCCAGUCCAGUCAAGCCUUCAGAUGACUUCAGAACCGUCCAUGUAAGCCACUCUUGGAUUCCUGACCCACAGAAACUGUUGGAGUAAGUGAUGUUUCUGAAGCACCAAUGAAAAUGAAGUCCUGAAGUCCUGUGCUCAAUAUGAAAUGUUGGAAGUUAGAAGAAAAAAACAAAACUUGGAUCCAAUCUCAAGGCACUUUUUGUUUAAUGGGAAGAAGUGGAUUAUUUUAAAAGCUACAAAUAAAGUUACAUAAAAGUAGCAAA
rnacentral:lncRNA from 1 species